rnacentral:rRNA from 1 species
GGUUAAGCGACUAAGCGUACACGGUGGAUGCCCUGGCAGUCAGAGGCGAUGAAGGACGUGCUAAUCUGCGAUAAGCGUCGGUAAGGUGAUAUGAACCGUUAUAACCGGCGAUUUCCGAAUGGGGAAACCCAGUGUGUUUCGACACACUAUCAUUAACUGAAUCCAUAGGUUAAUGAGGCGAACCGGGGGAACUGAAACAUCUAAGUACCCCGAGGAAAAGAAAUCAACCGAGAUUCCCCCAGUAGCGGCGAGCGAACGGGGAGCAGCCCAGAGCCUGAAUCAGUGUGUGUGUUAGUGGAAGCGUCUGGAAAGGCGCGCGAUACAGGGUGACAGCCCCGUACACAAAAAUGCACAUACUGUGAGCUCGAUGAGUAGGGCGGGACACGUGGUAUCCUGUCUGAAUAUGGGGGGACCAUCCUCCAAGGCUAAAUACUCCUGACUGACCGAUAGUGAACCAGUACCGUGAGGGAAAGGCGAAAAGAACCCCGGCGAGGGGAGUGAAAAAGAACCUGAAACCGUGUACGUACAAGCAGUGGGAGCCUCUUUUAUGGGGUGACUGCGUACCUUUUGUAUAAUGGGUCAGCGACUUAUAUUCUGUAGCAAGGUUAACCGAAUAGGGGAGCCGAAGGGAAACCGAGUCUUAACUGGGCGUUAAGUUGCAGGGUAUAGACCCGAAACCCGGUGAUCUAGCCAUGGGCAGGUUGAAGGUUGGGUAACACUAACUGGAGGACCGAACCGACUAAUGUUGAAAAAUUAGCGGAUGACUUGUGGCUGGGGGUGAAAGGCCAAUCAAACCGGGAGAUAGCUGGUUCUCCCCGAAAGCUAUUUAGGUAGCGCCUCGUGAAUUCAUCUCCGGGGGUAGAGCACUGUUUCGGCAAGGGGGUCAUCCCGACUUACCAACCCGAUGCAAACUGCGAAUACCGGAGAAUGUUAUCACGGGAGACACACGGCGGGUGCUAACGUCCGUCGUGAAGAGGGAAACAACCCAGACCGCCAGCUAAGGUCCCAAAGUCAUGGUUAAGUGGGAAACGAUGUGGGAAGGCCCAGACAGCCAGGAUGUUGGCUUAGAAGCAGCCAUCAUUUAAAGAAAGCGUAAUAGCUCACUGGUCGAGUCGGCCUGCGCGGAAGAUGUAACGGGGCUAAACCAUGCAC